AGUGAAUUAAUGCAUAACCUCGUCAUCUACGUUCGACCAUGAUUAUGGCAGUGAUUAUUGUUAUAUACGAAUUUUCGUGCAAUAUAUGUGAAAAUUCGUGGUUGUCCAACUAACACGCUUGCAGAUGCUACGUUCACUUUGUUGCAUAUAGGGCUUAAAUAUGUGAACAAAUAGAACGGAGCAACUGUCAUUAGCGUAAUUUUAACGUGUUAAAGUGAAUUAAUGCAUAAUCUCGUCAUCUACGUUCGACCAUGAUUAUGGCAGUGAUCAUUGUUAUAUACGAAUCUUCGUGCAAUAUAUGUGAAAAUUCGUGGUUGUCCAAUUAACACGCUUGCUGAUGCUACGUUCACUUUGUUGCAUAUAGGGCUUAAAUAUAUGAACAAAUAGUACUGCGCAAGUGUCACUAGCGUAAUCUUAACGUGUUAAAGUGAAUCAAUACAUAACUUCGUCAUCUACGUUUGUCCAUGACUACGGCAGUGGUCAUUGAUAUAUGUGAAGCUUCGUGGAGUAGAUGUGAAAAUUCGUCGUUGUCCGGUUAACACGCUUGCAGAUGCUCCGUUCACUUUGUUCCAUAUAGGGCUCAAAUAUGUGAACAAAUUGAAUGGAGCAACUGUCAUUAGCGUAAUUUUAACGCGUUAAAAUAAAUUAAUGUAUAAUUUCGUCAUUUACGUUUGAUCUACGUUUUUUCAUCUACGUCAUCUACGGCACCUACGCGAAUCUUAUUGAUUACGUCUUUGGCAGUGUUCGUUGCUAUAAAUGAAACUUAAUAGUUGUUGAAACCACUCGAAAGUCGUGUUCCUAAAUCAUUCCCUCGCCUCGUAUCGUGUUCAUCAAAUGGAAAAGGAGAUUGUGUUUUAAUGAAAUCGCUUGUUACUAUCAAUCUUGCUGUGUCACUCGCAUAGGAGAAGAAAAUGAGGAAGGAGAAAAAAAUUAAGGUGUGGCGGCACUCGACAAGCCGAAAAAUCAGCAGUACCCCGGCAGCGACAUCUACAGCCCCCAUCUACAGCGGAACAGGCCUACUAUCUACUACAACUAUAACUCACAACACGGCCACCUCAAAGGAUUUUUCUCUUCGCAGAGAACCAGGUUUUCAAGAACGAUCGAAUAUGUAUGCACUUGAUUUACACGUGAAGUUGUCAUUAAAAAUAUUGUUGCGUUUAAAAAGAUAAA